GUGAAUAUCAGUUAGAAAUCUAGUUGUUCAUUGCAAAACUAAACCAGUUUAUAGCAGAAAUAAGCACUUGGAGGGAAAUGUUACAUUUUCACUGCAGGCCUUGAAUCCUUAGCCACCAGCUCCGUGUCCUUCAGUGUUCUGUGGUUCCUGGUUCCAGAGAGAUCACCUGCUCCAAUGUAACGAGUGAAGAGUUCUUUAGGUGAUGGCUGCUGGGCCCAGCUUUGCUGUUGUCUUUGCUGUCUUGUAAGCUUUGUGUCGCUCAAGUUCAGUUGUGUAUGAGUGUACUAACCACUGUGAGCUUCUCCAAGCAUGUGCAAGCAAUUUGAGAGGAGCCUAAUAUUUGCAAGGAAUUUGAGAGGAGCCUUUUAAGGAUGUUUUAUUGGCGGGGGUCAGGUGAGGGAGAUAACACGGGGGCAAGAAGGAAAGUUAUUAAUUCAUGGGAAACUACCAGCCCUUCAUCACCUAACUUGUGAUUUACAGACACUGAGCACAUUGCAGGUUGAGAAGGUGCUUGGUCCUUUUUGUAGCCUUAUGCUGUGCUCUUCAGAGACGUGAGUGUGCUGCUUUUUCUCACCAUUUUGUUUCUUGUAGAUUGUUUUCCUUGAUGCUGGAAAACAUUUUGAAGACAAGACUCUAAACAGUGACCUAUGCCACACUAGUUUAUUGGAAAAUGAGAAACUUACAUUACUGACAAGCUUGGAAGAUUCUUCAGUCCUGCAGUGACCUGAUGAUAUUGAUGAUGAAAUGUCUUACGAUGAUCAUUUAGAGGUUUAUUUCGAACAACUGGCAAUUCCAGGAAUGAUGGAAUAAAGCAUACGAAGUAGAAGGACUGGAACCUCCAGAAAAAGUACUUUAAGUUACCUACAGGUGAUCCUAGUCAGGCAAAUGAAAACAGUAGCCUAAAGUGUCAGUUUCAACCCGAAAAUAACAGCUCUGAUUUCUCAUGGCUCACACUCGUCUGAAAUGACUCGGGUAGAGGCUGAGGAAGGCUGUGUUGUUUGUCUACCUGGGACUACACCUACUGAAAGAAGUUCUCAAGUUCUGAUUGAGUUCUAAAAUUCUUUUGAAGAUUGGAAUUCUUCAUAUGUAAAAAGAGAAGAGAAAGACAUUCUUGAUUUUGGUGACUAGAGUUGUAGAUGCUGGAAGCUUUGCCACUAACAUUGAUGAACCAGAUGCAUGUCACCAGCCCAUCACGGUGAUUCUUAAUGCCGGCACCAUGGGCCGGCACUGCCACGUUUUCCAAGGAACCUGCCAGAGCUCCUGCGGAAGCUGCUCCUCGGGCGAUGGAGUCCCUUUGCUGCUAGGCCCUUCUUCAGUCACCACAGGAUGCCUGCCAUUCAUGAACAGGAAGGAGAGGACGGGCUUUGAAUAAAAAACAGGAUCCAGGAAAUAUUUGUGAGGCCAUUUGGACUUCAGUGUGAAAUGGUGUUAAAAGAUGAAGUCAUUUAUUCAAGAAGUAAACCUCUGCCACCUGGACUGUGCUCAGACAUUUCAUUGAUUUUGUUUAAUAAACAUUUUCUGGCUUUGG
rnacentral:lncRNA from 1 species